UGCAGUUUUCUGCUAAAAGGAGCACCGACCCAGGGUUUCAGGUAAGUAACUACAAUCACUUGGGUGUGCCUAACAUUUGGCACCCCAAGUGCUGCAAGCCUUUCCUUCUCCUUUAAUAAGGCCUCUGUAGAGGCCAAUAUAUACAGAUCCUUUCUAUCUUUUGGCUUCCUAUUUCUUCAAAUUUCCCAGAGCAGACGCAUGCGGCUUUUUGCUCUACUCUGCAUGCACAGCUAAGAGAAGAAAGAAGAAGCCGGAAGACGAUGGGUGCAGUUUUCUCCUGAAAGGAGCACCGGUCCGGGGUGUCAGGGUAUCCUGCCUACAACUCACAAGGGGAAACCCGAGGUGCUGGCUAUGUUUACAUCACAAAACCUUUGUAAAAGAUCCCCUGAAGUGAAGCCACUUCCUUCCAACUCCUGGAGACUAAAUAACCAAGAUGAGGAUAGAGUGGAUGCUGUGAACCAUUGAAUGGCUUUGCAGAGAGGCGAUUAUACAUUUCAUCCCACAAGUGCACAUCACUGCUCUAACAGAUGCCGAAAAGAAGAUUAGGUGCCCUUAGGUCUCAGUUUAGCAGGAGGAGGGAGAUUUAGGAGACUUCAUGUGGAAGGGAUGAGAUAAAAGAUCGAUCCAUGAAUUUGAAGAAUGAUAACAUAAUUCUUUUCUCACUCGAACACCAUAGAUAUUAACAUACCAUCCAGCAAAUAAGAAAAAAGUGCCUGGAUAUGAAUUGAUAAUGUUAAUAUGUAAUUAAUAACUCAAUGUAAACAAUACCUUUAUAUCUGUUCGACUAGAUAUGAAGCAAAGUUAGUCUAACAGAUGCUGGUAAGAACAUGUUUUCUUUGAAUGCAAGUCCAACAUUUCCUAUAUUAGCUGCAGUCUGUCCCCAAGCAAAUCAUAAGACUAAACCUCUGUAUAGAUGCAUUCAAUGAACUUGUGCAAGUGCAAGCUUGUUAGAACUUGGUAUGGACACACAUCCGUUGCAAUGCAAAUAUUUGUUGAAUCCAUUAAUUUGAAUACAAUCAGCUUGCGUGAGCUCAGUAUUUGGGCUGAUCCGAUUAAAAUGAAUGGAGCAGGGGCACGAGCAGAUUUGCUUCUCAACAGACGGAGCCAACAGCCUGUGAGCCCAAGGGAUGGGUAUUAGUGGCCACUUUAUAGAAGUGACUGCUUCUCAGAUAGAGAUGGAUGGAGUUACCACUAGAGAAGUGAGCCAUGUUGAUGAUGAUGUUGAGAUGAUGCUAUCUGUGUUGAAAAAAAAUAUUAAUUAUUGUGAAAGUUGAAAAGCAAAGAAAAAACUAAAGGUAUGAAAAAGGGAAAAAAUUGAAAAAAAAGCAAAACUGAAAAAAAAUACAAAAGUACAAACUAAGCUGGCAAAUGUAAAAAUCAUAGCCACUGACAUUGGGCGUAUUUUCUUAUGGCGACUUUUUAUCACAAUUUUGUCUUGGUGACUUUUUUGUCUCAGCGUCAAUUUUGUCUUGGCAACUUUUUUUGUCUUGGCAACUUUUUAUGUCUUGACGACUUUUCUGCCCAAAAAAAAAAAAAUACAAACGUACAAACUAAGCUGACAAAUGUAAAAACAAAUCAUAGCCACUCACAUUGGGCGAUUUUUCUUAUUGCAAAUUUUUUUGUCUCUGCAACCAUUUUGUCUUGGCGACUUUUUUGACAUCUUUUUUUGGCGACUUUUUGCCACAGCUUUUCAAAGAAAAUUUGCAGGUGGCGAAGUGUGGAAUUUGCCACAAAUCCAUACCUGGCAAAUAAAUUUGCUUAUCACUACUUAACAACUCUGACUUAUGUUGUGCAUAGUGUGAGCGCUGGCAUCUAUUUAUUUGUUCUGCUUAUCUUUAUAUAAUACACAAAAGCCAUGAAUAUCCUGUAAAUUAUAUCCUUAUAAACGGUGAGUAGUGAUGUCAUCAGUUAUAAACGGUGAGUAGUGAUG